rnacentral:tRNA from 1 species
AGGGGGUUAGCAUAGUGGAUAGUGCAACGGACUUUGACUCCGUUUAUGGUGGUUCGAUUCCACUACCCCCUG